rnacentral:rRNA from 1 species
UACGUAGGGUCCGAGCGUUGUCCGGAAUUAUUGGGCGUAAAGGGCUCGUAGGCGGUUUGUCGCGUCGGGAGUGAAAACACGGGGCUUAACCCCGUGCCUGCUUCCGAUACGGGCAGACUAGAGGUAUGCAGGGGAGAACGGAAUUCCUGGUGUAGCGGUGAAAUGCGCAGAUAUCAGGAGGAACACCGGUGGCGAAGGCGGUUCUCUGGGCAUUACCUGACGCUGAGGAGCGAAAGUGUGGGGAGUGAACAGG